rnacentral:antisense_RNA from 1 species
AAAAGCACACACCAGGCGGGAAAGGAGAGAGAAGGAAAAACCCACUCCUAGCCACACAAUGGUGGAUCUUAAUAUCCAAUGAAAAGAAAAAAUUCUAAUGUAGGUCACACGCAAUAGAUAACCCAAUAUAAAAUGAACAAGACGUGAUCAAGCAAAUCAAAGAAAAAUGUACAUCAAUAAAUAUGUUAAGACAUGUUCAAUGUUACCGGUGAUCAAGGAAUUUCAAAUCAAGAUCAAAAUGGUAUACCAUUUACAGCCAUCCCUCUGGCAAAAAUUAAAUACCAAGUGUCAGACAUGAGAUGGCUCAGAGCUCUCCUGUGUUGCUAGUGAAAUGUUAACUGGUUCAACAACUAUGUAAGUCAGCAGGACAUUAUGUCCUAAAAUUGAACAUUCGUGUGCCCUAUGACCUAGUUAUUCCACUCAGGUCUAUACAAAAGAGAAAACCAUGCACAUAUGGAACAUGCACAGCAGAAAACGUGAAAGAAUAUCCCAUGCUCUUCAGAAGAGCAAAAACCUGGAAAUGACCAAAGGCCCAUCAACAGAAGAGUGGAUAAAUUAACUUCGGCAGAUCCACACAAUAAAAUAUCACAGCAGUCAGAAGGAAUAAACCACAGUGAAAAACAACAAUAUGGUUGAUUUUUAGUAAUAUUACUGUUAUCACUUAAGUCCCAAAAAGUUACACAUAGGAAGAUAAGUUAGUUGCAUACACACAGAUUUUUUUUUGGAAAUUAGAUACAGAAGAAAAAAUUAAUACAAGAUGGGAGCUAAUGAUUACUUCUAGUGAAAAGUGAAAGAGGGAAAAGUAAAACAGUGGUUACUGCCAAGAUCCUAGAUUUUUGUUGGAAACAGUGCUCGCUACAUUAUACAAAACAACUAAUUUUUUAAAAGGAAAAAGGUUAGUCCAUGGAUUAACACAUGGCUCACUGUACGUGCCAUGAGCUCGGGAUGAUAGCUGAUCCAAUCCCAUAUACACCUGAAGUCUUGGGGCAGGGGCGGACCACAAGUCAGCGCUGCCCCCACAACACCAGGCUGAUGGCCCGGUGAUUCUUCUGCCUGUGUGCAAAAGUCGGCCAGGACCAUCCUUCUCCAUCUGCAACACCCAGGGUCUUUUCUAAAACUUUUGCCCAGUCGGCUCAGCCAAAAGGACACAGAAGCCCUGCAGAGGCUCUGAAACCAAGCUGCCAUGGCUUCCAGUUUGAGAUCAUGUCACCGGAGCCUGCACAGAUGAACCAAGCUUGCAACACGGGAGGAACCUAAGCGCUGGACUGAGGAGCGGGACUGAAAUAAGAAGCGCACACCACAUGGCAAGAUCCAGGAUCCAAUCAGAUAGAGCCCUGGUGUCAUUUAAUUGCAAGAUCCAAUCAGAACACACUUCAUUACCAGUAUUGCCAGACUAUCAGGAGAGACCAUAAAUCAAAUAAAAACAUGAGUUGUAUCCAAAACUCAACCAGGUAUCAUCUUAAAUAUCCAACAGAAUUC